rnacentral:tRNA from 1 species
GUGGCCUAGUUGGUAAAGGUAUGAACUCUGGCAAUGAAGACCUGGGUUUGAAUCCCACUCA